rnacentral:lncRNA from 10 species
CUGCCGCCUUGCAGUUUGACCUCAGACUGCUGUGCUAGCAGUCAGCGAGACUCCGUGGGCGUAGGACUUUCUGAGCCAGCUGACAUCCUAAGGAACAUUAUCUUUUGAGGGCACAAUCUUUCACUUGCAUCCUCUAUGGUAAUGCACCUAAAUCUGGAUCCAAGAUCUUAUAAAUACACCAGGGAUUCAGUCUAGGUUCUGAUGCUCACUUCACCAUCAUUGAGAUGAAGAAUAUUGCCAGAUGUGGAACCUGCAGAUGCAGGGGGCUGACUUAAGAGACGAGGAUCCACAGACGCUGACAUCCAUGGUGUGGUCCUUGGACCAGCAACAUCAGUAUCUAUAUCACCUGAGAGCUUGUUAAACAUUCAGAAAUUGGGAGCCCACGCAACAUCUACAGAAUCAGAAUCUACAUUUCUACAAGAUACUCUGGAAUUCAUACCUAAAUUUUGUGGUUUGAGAAGUCCUGUAGUGCAGGCUACAUCACCAGGACUUGAAGGACAGCAGCACAUCUUUGGACCUGAAUUCUAUCCUUCUUCCCCCAGAGAAAGAAAAAUUCACAUGUUGAAGCCAAAGCCCCCAGAUCCCCCAAGGUGACCAUAUUUGGACAUAGCGACUUUAAAGAGUUUGAAGCCAACAGGUUCAAGGAAGAAUCUGCUUACAAGCUCCCACAAGCUCUUGACAGAAUGCAUCUCUGCUUUGUUGUUGGUUGUAGAAAUGAAGUCUCUGUUUUCGUUCUGUCUGUCACAAACAUCUCACUGUGCUCCUGGAGGUCACUUGUAGUUCCUUGACACAUGACUCUCUCCAUACGCCCUGUAAGAACAUGUUAAGAGAUCUGGGAAAUUAUUUUACUCCAUAAAAUAACACCUUGGUAGAUAUUGAGUAAAGUUAUGAUGUUACUUGCUUUUUAGCACACUUUAUCAAUGUGUGUUACACUAGAGUGCCUUCUGUAAACAGCCUGAGGGAGCUUAGAAGCAGAUUUAUUUAGCACUAGGUACAUGACUAGAUAGCACUAGAUAAAGAACCCUGGGUGUUUAGGUUACAGAGGUCGGGUGUUAGGAAAGCAGUAAUAAAAGGGGCUAACUGUGUACCUGAACACUUCUGUUAUACCAUGGAUUAUUUGAACCUUAAUCCAUGCAACAUUAUCAAUUAUGAAAUGACUGUGACAUGAAUAAAGUUGUUUAUUAAUGAACUUCAUGCUACCCACUUUCAGGGAGUAAACAAUGAAUAAAUCUUUUAUGAUUAUCUUGUCCAAUGGAAACGUAAUUAUUCAGUUGCUCAGAUUAAAUACCAUGGAGGCAUUUCUGACUCUUCUCUCAAAAUCACUCAUCUCCCUGGGCAUGGUGGCUCAUGCCUAUAAUCCCAGCACUUUGGGAAGUGGAUCACUUGACUCCGGGAUUUUGAGACCUGCCUGGAUAACAAGGAGAAACCCCAACUCUACAAAAAAUACAAAAAUUAGUUGGAUGUAGUGGUGCGUGCCUGUAGUCCCAGAUACGUAGGAGGCUGAGGUGGGAGGAUCACUUGAAUCCAGGAGGUUGAGGCUGCAGUGAGCUGCGAUUGUGCCACUGCCCUCCAGUCUGGAUGACAGAGUGAGACCAUGUCUUUAAAAAAAAAUACUAAUCUAAGACUGUUUUUUCAAAAUACAAUCGACAAUCGUAUCACUUCACACAAUCUCCUCAUUUGCUACCACACGAGCGCAUACCAUCAAAUCUCUUGCUUAGAUUAUUAUUAUAUCUUCUAACCACCUGCCCCUAUCCCUACCCUUGCCCUUCCUUUCACUGUCUGUUUGCAACACACCAGCCAGGUAAUCCUUUUAAAACAUAAGUCACAUGUUAACACUUCUGUGCUCAAAAGCCUCUAACGCUUUCCAUUAUACUCUGAGCAAAGCACUGACAAAUUCCUUAUAACUCCUACAAGCCUUCCAUUAAUUAUCUAUUGCUGCAUAAAUUUAGUAGGUUUAAAAUGACACAUAUUUAUUAUCUCAAAAUUCCUAUGCACCAUGUGUUUAGACCAUUUAGACACAAGUUAUCUGGGUUCUUCACUUCAGGAUUUUGUCAGGCUGAAACCCUAGUGCUGACCAGAGUGGUAGUCUUAUCAGAGACUUGACUAGGGAAGAAUCUGCUUACAGGCUCCCACAAGCUCUUGACAGAAUGUAUCUCUGCUUUGUUGUUGGUUGUAGAAAUAAAGUCUCUGUUUUCGUUCUGUCUGUCACAAACAUCUCACUGUGCUCCUGAAGGUCACUUGUAGUUCCUUGACACAUGACUCUCUCCAUACGCCCUGUAAGAACAUGUUUGUUUAUCUUUUUAAAGCCAACAAUGAAGAUGGUGAAUCUUUAGUGUCUGCUAGCAAAAUUAUACACAUGCACACACACACAUACAUAAACAUACACACACACACACACACACUUAAUGAAAGUGUAAAAAUCAGAGUGGCGUCUCUAUUUUGCCAUCUUCUAAUAGUGAAAAUCAAAUUACAGGUUCUCCUCAAACUCAAAGGGAGGGGAUUAUACAGGGCAUGAAUAUGGAAGUCAACAGAAUCUAUCCAGCAGCAAGCUUCUACAUGAUCCUCCUACUCACCACUUCUCUGAAUUUAUCUCCUGCCACUCUCCAUCUGGCCCACUUUGCCCUGGAUAGAUUGGCCUCCUUGUUCUUUGAUUCACAAAGGGAAUAUCUGCUUCUUCAUAUUCACCCUUCUCACAGGUGGUAACCCUCUUUCUUGGGAAAGAAAUCCAUAAGACGGGCAGCUAGACAACCUUUAAGUCUGUCGUAAAAUGUAAGCUUAUCAGGAAGAACAUCCUUGAUUAUCUUUUGAAAACUUGCAACCCUCAUAUUUCUUCAUCCCUAUCCCUUAAAUACUUUUCUCCAUAAAAUAUGUCACCACUUGGCAUUUUAUUUAUUUUUAAUUUUGUUGUUUAUCUCUCCCACGUCAUCAUGAGUGCACAAAAUUUUUAUCACUGAAUUCUUAACAUGAAGAACAGUAUCUAUUGUGCAUUUAUAGAAGAAGAUCCCAAUAAAUGAAUAUGAAAUGAAUUAUUGGGUUGUUCUUUUAAAUAGGAAAUGAAUUGUAUCAAAAUAAGGUCAUUUAUGAUAGAGAAUAAUGUUUUGAUGAAUAGUCCAUAAUAUUAAAAACAUUACUUUUGGUUUUUUGAUAUUUCUCUUCGUUGUAAGAAAAUUUCUUCUUUAAUUUCAUUGAUGCAUUUUACAUUUAUCAUUCAGAAGUAGAGUUAUUCAUGUACAUACAAUCUGGUAGUAAGAGUCUUACUUAAAGAAAUAUAAGAAAGCUAUAGAUCCUAGAUCUACUCACAAACUUUGCAGAGGGCUCUCCACAUGAUAGAUAUUAAUUAAAUCUUCACUUAAAUAAAUAGGGACUACACUAUCCCAUUGAUCACAGGUCUGCCAUCCUUGAUCUUAAAUCUGCUGGGAAUCAUACAGAAUGAUUACAUGGAGUGAUGGAUAUACCUAGUUUUAUCGCAUAGAAUAUAAAACACUAGUGGUUAAUGUGGAGACUUUUUUCAAAAGUGUUGUUAUCUAUAUUUUUGUACAUUAACUUGAAUACAAUUUAAAUGCAGUUUGUCGAUCUUGGUCAAUGUAAAUGUCCAUCAGCAGACAAAUGGAUGGGAAAGUAUAAUGUAUAUACACAAUGGAAUACUAUUCAGUCUUAAAAAAAGAAGAAAAUUCUGUCAUUUGGGAUAACAUAGAUAAAUCUAGAGAACGUUAUGCUAAGUAAAAUUAGCUAAGCACAGAACAGCAAAUACUGCAUGAUCUCCCUUGUGUAUGGAAUCUUAAAAAAGUUGAAUCCACAGAAGAGAGUGAAAUGAUGUUUACCAAAAAUGAAGGGGGGUGUGUAAUGAGAGAAUGGAGAGUUACUGGUCAAAGGGUAUGUUGUUUCAGCCAUACAGGAAGAAUAAGUUUUGAGACUAAAUGCACAGCAGAGUGUCUAUAGUCAAUAAUAAUGUAUUGUGUAUUUCACAAUAACUAAUAAAUAAAUUUCAAAUGUAUCAGCACAAAAAAUGUUAAUAAGUGAGGUGCUGGUUAUGUUAGUUAUCUUGAUUUAAUCAAUUCACAUUGUAAACACAUAUAUCAAAUCACAUUGAACUCCAUAAUGUAAUACAAUUAUGAUUUUUCAAUUAAAAA